UAAGGUCACGGCAAGACGAGCCGUUUAUCAUUACGAUAGGUGUCAAGUGGAAGUGCAGUGAUGUAUGCAGCUGAGGCAUCCUAACAGACCGAGAGAUUUGAAC
rnacentral:rRNA from 12 species